CAGCCGCCGCGGUAAAACGUAGGUCCCGAGCGUUGUCCGGAUUUAUUGGGCGUAAAGGGAGCGCAGGCGGUUUAGUAAGUCUGAAGUUAAAGGCAUUGGCUCAACCAAUGUAUGCUUUGGAAACUGUUGGACUUGAGUGCAGAAGGGGAGAGUGGGAUUCCAUGUGUAGCGGUGAAAUGCGUAGAUAUAUGGAGGAACACCGGUGGCGAAAGCGGCUCUCUGGUCUGUCACUGACGCUGAGGCUCGAAAGCGUGGGUAGCGAACAGGAUUAGAUACCCCUGUAGUCCCUGUCUCUUAUACA
rnacentral:rRNA from 1 species